GUAGGUGGGGUAAUGGCCCACCUAGGCGACGAUCCCUAGCUGGUCUGAGAGGAUGACCAGCCACACUGGAACUGAGACACGGUCCAGACUCCUACGGGAGGCAGCAGUGGGGAAUAUUGCACAAUGGGCGCAAGCCUGAUGCAGCCAUGCCGCGUGUGUGAAGAAGGUCUUCGGGUUGUAAAGUACUUUCAGCUGGGAGGAAGGCGACUGGGUUAAUAAUCCGGUCGAUUGACGUUACCCGCAGAAGAAGCACCGGCUAACUCCGUGCCAGCAGCCGCGGUAAUACGGAGGGUGCAAGCGUUAAUCGGAAUUACUGGGCGUAAAGCGCGCGCAGGCGGUCUGUUAAGUCCAAGGUGAAAUCCCCGGGCCUAACCUGGUAACUGAUUUGAAAC
rnacentral:rRNA from 1 species